rnacentral:rRNA from 1 species
GAACGCUGGCGGUAGGCCUAACACAUGCAAGUCGAACGGCAGCACAGUAAGAGCUUGCUCUUACGGGUGGCGAGUGGCGGACGGGUGAGGAAUACAUCGGAAUCUACUUUUUCGUGGGGGAUAACGUAGGGAAACUUACGCUAAUACCGCAUACGACCUACGGGUGAAAGCAGGGGAUCUUCGGACCUUGCGCGAUUGAAUGAGCCGAUGUCGGAUUAGCUAGUUGGCGGGGUAAAGGCCCACCAAGGCGAUGAUCCGUAGCUGGUCUGAGAGGAUGAUCAGCCACACUGGAACUGAGACACGGUCCAGACUCCUACGGGAGGCAGCAGUGGGGAAUAUUGGACAAUGGGCGCAAGCCUGAUCCAGCCAUACCGCGUGGGUGAAGAAGGCCUUCGGGUUGUAAAGCCCUUUUGUUGGGAAAGAAAAGCAGCAGGUUAAUACCCCGCUGUUCUGACGGUACCCAAAGAAUAAGCACCGGCUAACUUCGUG